GCGAAAGUGGCGAAAUUUGGCAGACGCGUUACCUUGAGGGGGUAGUACAAAAGUUGUGUGUGGGUUCAAAUCCCACCUUUCGUA
rnacentral:tRNA from 1 species